rnacentral:rRNA from 1 species
UGCGUAGGCGGUUUGGCAAGUCUUAUGUGAAAUCUAUGGGCUCAACCCAUAGUCUGCAUAAGAAACUGCCGGGCUUGAGUAUGGGAGAGGUGAGUGGAAUUUCCGGUGUAGCGGUGAAAUGCGUAGAUAUCGGAAGGAACACCUGUGGCGAAAGCGGCUCACUGGACCAUAACUGACGCUGAUGCACGAAAGCUAGGGGAGCAAACA